AAGAAACUCUUGUCAGGAACCUGGCAUUAUGUGAAUUUAUCCGGUAUGCUUCCUGGAGAUCACUUGACUCUAAAUACAAGUGACAAACAUCACCUUGUGUUUUCUGAGCAGGAAGGAAAGCUACAGUAAAGUCAAAGUCUAUACACCAAAGAUAGAAAAAAAAAUGAGAAAAAUAAGUGGAAAGAAUGAAGCAAAAUGAGAGCCAUGAAAGAUACAAAGAGGUGUAUUUAGAAAGUAGAAGGAUCAAGACAUUGUGUGCCUCAGAAAAAAAGGAAGGACGUUGGGGAAAAGUCCUAAGAGCAUCUGGAAAGAAAAAAAAAAAAUGGGUUACAUACAAAAGGCUUAAAGGAUCACAUACAAAGGAAUAAAAAUGACUUCUUAUUUCCAACAAGCAACACUGGAAGCUAAAAAAGAACUGGACAAUAGAUUCAAUUUCUGAGGGAAAGUCUUUUCUCUCCUGGAAGUCUAUGAAUCUCACUGCGAACUAAAUGCAAGGAUAAAACGAUAUUUUCAAACAUGCAAGGGGUCAAAUUAACUUUCUCUGUGCACCUUUUUUCUGUGCUGUAGAGUAACUAUAGAACAUUGUUGAAGUAUAUAUUUCAUAAAAAAUGAAGAAAUAAAUUUAGGAAGGACCCAGGAAUCAGGGCAUUUAAAACAAAAGGGUGUAAAGAGGAGACUAGAGAAAAAUCCAGUUUAGACUGGAACAAGAGGAGUAAAGAUUUCAGGAGACAUGUUUCAAACACACACAUGUACACACACACACUGGUUUCUUUGUAGUCAAAUACAUAAAAGUAAUUCAUCAGCUCUUCUUGUGUGCAUGUGUGUGAGUGUAUAUGGUAGUGCAGGAAUGUGAAAAAGAGCCACAUCCUCAUUCUUCAAGCUAAGAAACCAAAAGAUACUCUCUAAAAAUAUUUAAAACCACCAAGUAGCAGUGAAAACUCAUUAUUUGAAAUAUACAGUUUAAAUGGUUUGUAUGUGUAUGCAUACUCUAUGGGAAAUUACACUGGAAUAUUCAAAAUUCAAUUCUUGACAUGAGACAUCUAAAGUUUUAUUAUACAUUAAAAAUGGUAAAGCAUACAUAUUAAAUAUCUCAAAGGACAACAUAAAUUUUCAAAAAAAUAUACUGGAAUGAAAAGAAAAUAGCUAUGUAAUAAUUUUCACCAAAUCAUAAUAUCAACAAAUGUUGAAAAUAAUAAUUCUUAUAAAUGAUAUAAACAUUAUUUUCCAUAUUUCAGGGAGCUUAUUCCACUUUACUUCCUGGAAACUCCUUUUUCACUCAUCAGUGUCAGUUCUCUUCAGAGGCAGAUAUUAUUAAAUGAGUGUCAAUAUCUGUUCUCUAAUUUUUCUCUAACAAUAGAAGUUCUGAUUUUUAUGUAGGCAUAUGGCUUUCCAGGAUAUGUGGUAAAUUCACCAUCCUUGUUUGUCACUAAGUUGGGAUCAAUAGACUUUAAAGAGAAGGAAGAGAAGGGCCUUGUGACAAUUACUCUUAUGUUUCCAUUUGAUGGGCUCAUGAAGUGAACAGAUAUUCGAUUAAACAUGAUUCUGGACAUGUCUGUGAGGGUGUUUCUGGAUGACUGAGAUUAACAUCUGAACCUGUAGACUGAGUAAAGUCAUUGAUACUGCCCCGGUCCUCCACCAAUGUGAGCAAAGCUCAUCCCAUCUGUUAAAGGUCUGGAUAGAACAAAAGUCUGGGCAGCAAAGAAUUCACUCUCUCUGUCUCAUGGUCUUUGAACGGGGGCAUCAGUACUCUCUUGCCUUCAGAUUCAGACUGACACUUACACUUUUGGCUGUUCUGGUUCCCACGUAUUUUGAGCCGCAGUUCUUGGUACUUCCCAGCCUUCAUAAUAGUGUGAGCCAAUGCCUUAUACUCUCUCUCUCUAUCUCUG